GACAGAGGUGCCGAGCGUUAGGCGGAGUCACUGGGCUUAAAGCGUGUGUAGGCGGGCGGGCAAGUACCUUGUGAAAUCCCACGGCUCAACCGUGGAACGGCUGGGUAUACUGCCUGUCUUGAGCCAACUAGGGGCGAGCGGAACAGACGGUGGAGCGGUGAAAUGCGUAGAUAUCGUCUGGAACGCCAAAGGUGAAAACAGGUAGCUGGGGCUGUGCUGACGCUGAGACACGAAAGCCAGGGGAGCAAACGGG
rnacentral:rRNA from 1 species